AUUGAACGCUGGCGGCAGGCCUAACACAUGCAAGUCGAGCGGGGUUUUCGGACCUAGCGGCGGACGGGUGAGUAAUGCGUAGGAAGCUACCCGAUAGAGGGGGAUACCAGUUGGAAACGACUGUUAAUACCGCAUAAUGUCUACGGACCAAAGUGUGGGACCUUCGGGCCACAUGCAAUCGGAUGCGCCUACGUGGGAUUAGCCAGUUGGUGAGGUAAUGGCUCACCAAGGCGACGAUCCCUAGCUGGUUUGAGAGGAUGAUCAGCCACACUGGAACUGAGACACGGUCCAGACUCCUACGGGAGGCAGCAGUGGGGAAUAUUGGACAAUGGGCGCAAGCCUGAUCCAGCCAUGCCGCGUGUGUGAAGAAGGCCUUCGGGUUGUAAAGCACUUUCAGUAGGGAGGAAGCGUUGUGUGUUAAUAGUACACAGCGUUGACGUUACCUACAGAAGAAGCACCGGCUAACUCUGUGCCAGCCGCCGCGGUAAUAC
rnacentral:rRNA from 1 species